ACUGCAAGGUUUGGUUUUCUUGUCAGAGUUUUGUAACACAAAAAAAAAUUCAAGCGAAAAGUUUUUUACAAUAAUCUUAUUUAUUUAGCCGCACAGCGCUAAAGUUAACAAUUUUCGCUCAAUAACUGCCAGACAGGCAAACUAAACAAGCAAUGGACGAGCAAUGGAACAACACAAACAUCGGUCUAUAUACACGAAAUGAGGACUCAAACUCCGACGUCAAUGAAUGGAUUCGCUUUGGCAUGCGCUUGGGAAUAAGUGCGGCACUGCAUCCUUUUGAAUACUCCAAGACGCUGAUACAGAUUGGCUAUGAGCCUAUUGCUGCAAGACCAGGCAAAUCACUAUGGGGCAGGCCCAUUAUGUUGUUGCCUAACAUAUUUCAGUAUGCUGGCCACAUAAAGAAAAUUGAUGGCUUUUACGGUUGUUAUCGUGGCCUGGCGCCCAAACUAGCUGGCUCUAUUCUGAGCAUGGCUCUGAGCGAGCGUGUCGCCGAGAAACUUGGCCUGGCACCGAAAAAGGAAAAGGACGAAUCCGAGCUCGAUGAGGAGGAGAUCUAUGCGCAGUUUAAGUACAAUCUGAAGCGCGAUAUUGUGGUCACUGUUACCGGCAUUGUCGUCUCACAUCCGUUCCAUGUGAUUUCCUUGCGCAUGAUGGCACAGUUUGUGGGUCGUGAGACGUUGUAUAACUCGAUCUUUGGUUCCAUUGCGGAGAUUUGGAAGACUGAGGGCGUUCUCGGCUUCUUUGCCGGCCUUAUACCGAAAUUGCUUUGCGAUGUUGCCUGUCUGGUGCUGUCCAGCUCCACAGUCUAUAUGCUGAAUAAAUACGUUAUCAAGGACAAAGUGGGACGGCAGUACAAUGCCGGCUUUACUCAGUUUGCCUUUACCAGUCUGCUGUAUCCACUACAAGUGGUCUCCACCUGCUCGGCUAUCAGUGGCUCGCGUCUAAUGGCGGCACGUCCACCCAUUAUGCCUCAUUAUGGCAGCUGGGUGGGUUGCUGGAACGAUCUGCAAGCGCGCAGGGAGCUCAAGCGCGGCAGUUCACUAUUCUGGCGCUCCCAAGCCGUUCAGCCAUCCAUUGUGCCCACUUCGUUUGCGCCUUUGCCCAAGCUGUCACGCUACCAGUAGGUGAACCUCUCCAACCAAGGAGCGUCUGUCUGCAUUUCUCUUCUGCUUGACGAGCGCCCAUCCUAAGACAUUUGCAUUUGUUUUGUUGUCGCGUUUAGUAUGCUAACUCUGAUUUCACAGAAUCGAGGCAGUCUCAAGGGUUCAACUACAAGAAAACCUUUAGUAAUAUCUGAAGAAAUGUGUUGAAGAAACGACGCGAGCUGCUCUAAAUCUGAAAUCAGUAAAAAGUAUUUCACUCAAUGUACUUCAAAAUUUAUCAGUAGCUAGAAAUAACAAAGUUUUCAAAUGUAAAAUUGCCAAUAAUAC